rnacentral:sRNA from 2 species
UUUCCGUAGGUGAACCUGCGGAAGGAUCAUUAAUUAUGUUAAAGCGCCUUACCUUAGGGUUUCCUCUGGGGUAAGUGAUUGCUUCUACACUGUGAAAAUUUGGCUGAGAGACUCAGACUGGUCAUGGGUAGACCUAUCUGGGGUUUGAUCGAUGCCACUCCUGGUUUCAGGAGCACCCUUCAUAAUAAACCUAGAAAUUCAGUAUUAUAAAGUUUAAUAAAAAACAACUUUUAACAAUGGAUCUCUUGGUUCUCGCAUCGAUGAAGAACGUAGCAAAGUGCGAUAACUAGUGUGAAUUGCAUAUUCAGUGAAUCAUCGAGUCUUUGAACGCAGCUUGCACUCUAUGGUUUUUCUAUAGAGUACGCCUGCUUCAGUAUCAUCACAAACCCACACAUAACAUUUGUUUAUGUGGUAAUGGGUCGCAUCGCUGUUUUAUUACAGUGAGCACCUAAAAUGUGUGUGAUUUUCUGUCUGGCUUGCUAGGCAGGAAUAUUACGCUGGUCUCAGGAUCUUUUUCUUUGGUUCGCCCAGGAAGUAAAGUACAAGAGUAUAAUCCAGCAACUUUCAAACUAUGAUCUGAAGUCAGGUGGGAUUACCCGCUGAACUUAA